GGUCGAAGAGGGUGCGGCAGCGCAUUGCUGCGGGCAUCGGGCUGAGCGCGGCCGAGCUGCAGGAUGAGAUCUGCAGGCACCUGGCCCAAGACUGCCCCGCGCUGCUGGAGAGGCUCUGGAGCACAGCCCGCAGCUGCUGCAUGGGGAGCUGCGUGGCGCCGCAGGCGGCAGCCGUCCACGUCCUGGGCCUCCUCCUGGACACAGUGCCGACCGCGUGGCUGCAGCAGCAGGACCUGGCGUUCCUGUCGGGAGCUUGGUGGAGGCGGCGGUCCAUCGAGGCCCCCCGCACGUGGCGGGCAGCAGCCGCAGUGCCCCACGCCGGGGGCCCCCAGCUGCUCGGGGCAGGAGAUCAAUAAAGCUGCGUCCUCGCAGGGAAAGUGC